rnacentral:ncRNA from 1 species
ACUGAUGCGAUGAUUGGAAGAGUACGUCAAUUUGUUUAUUGUAGAGAGGGAUCCGGUGGUGAAAGGACCUAUAAACGAUUGACCGAAGUCACCCAUGAGCAGUUUCCGUGAAAGUAAUCAUAGCGGGAACCGGUUUGAAGCCGUUAAAGCAGGUUGAGGUGUACGUGAUUUUACGUACACGAAUAAAGGUGGUACCGCGAACAACUCCUUCGUCCUUUAA